AGAGUUUGAUCCUGGCUCAGAUUGAAUGCUGGCGGCAUGCCUUACACAUGCAAGUCGAACGGCAGCGCGGGGGUAACCCUGGCGGCGAGUGGCGAACGGGUGAGUAAUACAUCGGAACGUGUCCUGGAGUGGGGGAUAGCUCGGCGAAAGCCGGAUUAAUACCGCAUACGCUCUAUGGAGGAAAGCGGGGGAUCUUCGGACCUCGCGCUCAAGGGGCGGCCGAUGGCGGAUUAGCUAGUUGGUGGGGUAAAGGCCUACCAAGGCGACGAUCCGUAGCUGGUCUGAGAGGACGACCAGCCACACUGGGACUGAGACACGGCCCAGACUCCUACGGGAGGCAGCAGUGGGGAAUUUUGGACAAUGGGGGAAACCCUGAUCCAGCAAUGCCGCGUGUGUGAAGAAGGCCUUCGGGUUGUAAAGCACUUUUGUUCGGGAAGA
rnacentral:rRNA from 1 species